AACGAACGCUGGCGGCAUGCCUAACACAUGCAAGUCGAACGAGACCUUCGGGUCUAGUGGCGCACGGGUGCGUAACGCGUGGGAACCUGCCCUUAGGUUCGGAAUAACUCCCCGAAAGGGGUGCUAAUACCGGAUAAUGCCUUCGGACCAAAGAUCUAUCGCCUUUGGAUGGGCCCGCGUUGGAUUAGCUAGUUGGUAGGGUAAAAGCCUACCAAGGCGACGAUCCAUAGCUGGUCUGAGAGGAUGAUCAGCCACACUGGGACUGAGACACGGCCCAGACUCCUACGGGAGGCAGCAGUGGGGAAUAUUGGACAAUGGGCGAAAGCCUGAUCCAGCAAUGCCGCGUGAGUGAUGAAGGCCUUAGGGUUGUAAAGCUCUUUUACCCGGGAUGAUAAUGACAGUACCGGGAGAAUAAGCUCCGGCUAACUCCGUG
rnacentral:rRNA from 1 species